rnacentral:rRNA from 1 species
CCUACGGGAGGCAGCAGUGAGGAAUAUUUGUCAAUGGGAGAGAUCCUGAACCAGCCAAGCCGCGUGAGGGAAGACGGCCCUAUGGGUUGUAAACCUCUUUUGUCGGAGAACAAAACCCGGGACGUGUCCCGGACUGCGUGUAUCCGAAGAAAAAGCAUCGGCUAACUCCGUGCCAGCAGCCGCGGUAAUACGGAGGAUGCGAGCGUUAUCCGGAUUUAUUGGGUUUAAAGGGUGCGCAGGCGGAAUGUCAAGUCAGCGGUAAAAUUUCGGGGCUCAACCCCGUCGUGCCGUUGAAACUGGCGUUCUAGAGUGAGCGAGAAGUAUGCGGAAUGCGUGGUGUAGCGGUGAAAUGCAUAGAUAUCAAGCAGAACUCUGAUUGCGAAGGCAGCAUACCGGCGCUCAACUGACGCUCAUGCACGAAAGCGUGGGUAUCGAACAGGAUUAGAUACCCUUGUAGUC